UGCAAGUCGAGCGGUAACAUUUCUAGCUUGCUAGAAGAUGACGAGCGGCGGACGGGUGAGUAAUGCUUGGGAAUAUGCCUUAUGGUGGGGGACAACAGUUGGAAACGACUGCUAAUACCGCAUAACGUCUACGGACCAAAGGGGGGGAUCUUCGGACCUCUCGCUAUUUGAUUAGCCCAAGUGAGAUUAGCUAGUUGGUAAGGUAAUGGCUUACCAAGGCGACGAUCUCUAGCUGGUUUGAGAGGAUGACCAGCCACACUGGGACUGAGACACGGCCCAGACUCCUACGGGAGGCAGCAGUGGGGAAUAUUGCACAAUGGGCGAAAGCCUGAUGCAGCCAUGCCGCGUGUGUGAAGAAGGCCUUCGGGUUGUAAAGCACUUUCAGUUGUGAGGAAAGGGGAGUAGUUAAUAACUGCUUUCUGUGACGUUAACAACAGAAGAAGCACCGGCUAACUUCGUGCCAGCAGCCGCGGUAAUACGAGGGGUGCAAGCGUUAAUCGGAAUUACUGGGCGUAAAGCGUUCGUAGGCGGUCUAUUAAGCAAGAUGUGGAAGCCCAGGGCUCAACCUUGGAACUGCAUUUUGAACUGGUAGACUAGAGUACUGUAGAGGGUGGUGGAAUUUCCAGUGUAGCGGUGAAAUGCGUAGAGAUUGGAAGGAACAUCAGUGGCGAACGCGGCCACCUGGACAGAUGCUGACGCUGAGGAACGAAAGCGUG
rnacentral:rRNA from 1 species